GUCUACGGCCAUGCCACCCUGAACAUGUCCAAUCUUGUCUGAUCUCGGAAGCUAAGCAGGGCCGGGCCUGGUUAGUACGUGGAUGGGAGACCACCUAGGAAUACCGGGUGCUGUCGGCG
rnacentral:rRNA from 1 species